rnacentral:lncRNA from 1 species
AGCUCACAGUCUGCUUUUGGGGUGGUAUAGCCAUCCAUAUCCCCACAUGGAGGGGAUUGUCGUCGAGUACUCCGGAGUGUCGUGCGACUAGGACCACUUGGAGGUCCGGACCACAUGGAGGUCCGCAGACGGUCCCGGGCUUGGGUGCACUUUGAGCUCCCUCCCCACUUUGAAAGGUGAGUUAUUGGCGAACCCUAGGGCUUCGCUACAGAUUGGGUAAAAGAACAGUGAACAAUGCCAUUGAACAUUAUUAUUCGAACAUGGAUCGAAUUUGUUAGCAUGAUAGUAAACCUUUACUAUUUGAUGCAUGGUAUGAGUUUUAGUUGCAUCCCAGUUGAGUGUAUUUAGGGCUGAGGAGCAUGUGAGACAUCCUUCACCUUGAGCCUGGCUUUGUGCGGUAUUCCGCGUGUGAUUGACUCAAGACCGAGUCGAGUGGAUAGCUUAUAAAAGCAGGUUAAACCCUAUGAGCAGAAUUGUAAUUGACAAG